AUGUACCAGCACCACUGCGCCAAUGCAACGGACCGCGGCGACUUCCACCAUGACGGCCUCCACAUCUUCGUGCGCGCCUGGCGCCUGGAAGCCCAUGCUGAGAAUGAAGACCAGCUGCAUCACGUGCGCCUCUGCAUCGAAGGAAUUCCUGUCCAUGGCUGGAACAACUACGUCGCCACGUUCGUCAUUGGGCACGGCUGCUCUCUGGACUACAUCGAGAACAGGUCGCUACGAAGGGAGGACACGAGGUACCUCGCGCUGUGGGCGUGGACCGCCAACCCCGACGCGAUCCUGAAGGUCAAGUGGCUCACUUUGCCGGCACGCGGCCAGCGGCGGCGUGGGCGGCGUGGCCUGCGGCACCGCGUGCUCAGUCAUCUGGACCUGCACGAGGACCACUCCAACGCACGCGAAGAUGACGACAAUCCUCCCACCCCAGACGUGAACGAGUUCACCUGGUACCCAGACAUCGUCAACGGUGCUCCGCCUCCUGGCCGCCGGCGCAUGGCUCCAGCUGCUCGCGACGACCGCCGCAACACGCGGCGCGACGACGCUGACGACUGCGAUAGCGGCCGUAGUAGAGAUGGCUCAAGAGGUCAGACAGGGUGGGGCGACUGCAUCCGCCGGUCUCUCUCCCGCAACGCGCGGGAGCGCCAGCGCGGGGCGGACCAGGACCGCUCUCGUGAUCGCUCUGGUGGUGGCCGCCGCCACGAUGUCGCGCCCACGGGUCUGCUUGCGGCAAUCACCACCAGGGAUGAGGUCACGGGACGCAGCCCGGUGCGUCAGGCGUCUCCACGAUCUGGCCGCCGUCUCUCCCGCGACAACCUCACGGCGCCCAACUCCCCGACGUCGGUGCUGCCAUCAACGCCUGGUUCUAAGCAUGGUGGCUCGGCUGCGUCCUCGAUGUCCGCGACGGCGCGGGGCGCCGUCGUGAUCUGCGCUCUGGCUCACCUCGUAUCCCCGCUGCCAUUGCUUUCCCCGGCUCACCCCCUGGCUUCAAGGCAUCCCCAACCUCGACGACGACGCCGCCACUACCGCUGGUGUCAUCCCACACCCCUGCCGCCCCUGUGGCCACGGUGCUGGUGCCGGAAGACACCACUCCUCUGUUUCUGCCGUGCCCUGAGCCUAUCAUCGCGGAGCCCCCAAGGGCUUCCCUACCGCUGA
rnacentral:rRNA from 1 species